rnacentral:rRNA from 1 species
UACGUAGGGGCCGAGCGUUGUCCGGAGUUAUUGGGCGUAAAGCGCGCGCAGGCGGCUUCGCGCGUCCGACGUGAAAGCCCCCGGCUUAACCGGGGAGGGUCGUUGGGUACGGCGGAGCUUGAGGGCGGGAGAGGGUGGUGGAAUUCCCGGUGUAGUGGUGAGAUGCGUAGAGAUCGGGAGGAACACCUGUGGCGAAGGCGACUUCCUGGCCUGUUCUUGACGCUGAGGCGCGAAAGCUAGGGGAGCAAACGGG